UCUCUGGCCUGCCCAUAUAAACAGGGCAGUUCCUUGCUGGUAGGCAAGAUAGUAACAUCACCUGGUUGCGAGGCUUUGUGUAUCAUCUUGGAGGAAAAGUGAGCACUGCCUGCAGACUGACUAUAUGGAACCUGCCAGCUUGAGAAUACAAGAAGCAGAUGGCACAGUGAGCAGGAGAAGGUUUUUAAUUUUACCUUCUUCCUGAAACCAGUGGAAAGAUUUUCCUGAAACUCAAGAACAAAUUGGAGCUUUCUCGGACUAUGAGUCACAAGGAAGAAAUCACAUGUUAUAGGUGUAACACCCACACACUCAGGAUGUACAGUGAGACCAGUGGACAAGGAGACAGUGAGGGACUCAUUCCGGAGCUGGCCCUGUGUGAGACUGGAGUGGAUUCCCAAUGGCCAGGGAAAUGUUUUUCUUUCUUAACUCUCCCUUUAAAUAACAUAUGUGAUCCCUGCUGGGAGCAUCCUAACAGUGAAAAUCCUUCCAGAGGCUGCCUGCCAAAGCCAGUGAAAAUCCCUUCGGGGAGUCAUGUCCCCUAUACAAGACACAGCCUGUUCAUAGGAACAUAAAUCUGCCCUUACUGAUGAAGAUUUUUCAAGCUGGAUUUAACAUGUGGGGGCACAUCUUAAUUUAGAUCACAGAAUUGCCUGCUUCCUUAGUAAUGUAUUUGGUGCUCAGGGCAGGCCUCCUACCUGCAGAGUCUCAUCCACCAUCCACCUGCUCUCAAACAUAGAAUGAGGCAGGGAAUACGUAACGCGGUAUGAUAUGAAUGAAGAGAAUGUGGAAUUUCUGAAAAAUCCACCCCACUACUCAAGAGGGUGCUACAAAUAAAACCUGUAGAAAUCUAAUAGGAUCUCUAGAAAUGAAUCUGAUAGCUUACGGCAUUUACUGGAGUGUGAGCUUCUUGUAAUAAUUCAGGCUGAACCAUGCUGGUAGUAUUCUCUAGAAGUGCUUAUCACACUUUAUAGAAGGUGCAAGUUCCAUGGGAGCACCAAUUCCAGCAUGACAGCUCAAGUGAACCUUGAGGGAUAUUUGACUUACUGUUACAACCUUCCUUCAGUUUCUGUUAUGUCCCUUGCUACUAAGAUGUAUGAUGCAUGUCCUGCACAGGUCUAUAUGGUAAUGCAGUUUAACAUGGGGUUGACAUUAAUUUCACCUGCU